UACGUAGGGUGCGAGCGUUAAUCGGAAUUACUGGGCGUAAAGCGUGCGCAGGCGGUUAUUUAAGUCAGGUGUGAAAGCCCUGGGCUUAACCUAGGAAUUGCGCUUGAGACUGGAUAGCUUGGAGUGCGGCAGAGGGAGGUGGAAUUCCACGUGUAGCAGUGAAAUGCGUAGAGAUGUGGAGGAACACCGAUGGCGAAGGCAGCCCCCUGGGCCAAAACUGACGCUCAGGCACGAAAGCGUGGGGAGCAAACAGG
rnacentral:rRNA from 1 species